CCGCCUGUGGUCCAACGGACACGACACCGGUCUACGAAGCCGGCAAUGCAGGUUCGAUUCCUGCCGGGCGGA
rfam:Kutzneria sp. 744 genomic scaffold supercont1.1, whole genome shotgun sequence.